rnacentral:rRNA from 1 species
CCCUUAGAGUUUGAUCCUGGCUCAGGACGAACGCUGGCGGCGUGCUUAACACAUGCAAGUCGAACGGGGUGUUUAUUUCGGUAAACACCAAGUGGCGAACGGGUGAGUAACGCGUAAGCAAUCUACCUUCAAGAUGGGGACAACACUUCGAAAGGGGUGCUAAUACCGAAUGAAUGUAAGAGUAUCGCAUGAGACACUUACUAAAGGAGGCCUCUGACAUAAGCUUCCGCUUGAAGAUGAGCUUGCGUCUGAUUAGCUAGUUGGUGAGGGUAAAGGCCCACCAAGGCGACGAUCAGUAGCCGGUCUGAGAGGAUGAACGGCCACAUUGGGACUGAGACACGGCCCAGACUCCUACGGGAGGCAGCAGUGGGGAAUCUUCCGCAAUGGGCGAAAGCCUGACGGAGCAACGCCGCGUGAACGAAGAAGGUCUUAGGAUCGUAAAGUUCUGUUGUUAGGGACGAAGGGUAAGAAUCAUAAUAAGGUUUUUAUUUGACGGUACCUAACGAGGAAGCCACGGCUAACUACGUGCCAGCAGCCGCGGUAAUACGUAGGCGGCAAGCGUUGUCCGGAAUUAUUGGGCGUAAAGGGAGCGCAGGCGGGAAACUAAGCGGAUCUUAAAAGUGCGGGGCUCAACCCCGUGAUGGGGUCCGAACUGGUUUUCUUGAGUGCAGGAGAGGAAAGCGGAAUUCCCAGUGUAGCGGUGAAAUGCGUAGAUAUUGGGAAGAACACCAGUGGCGAAGGCGGCUUUCUGGACUGUAACUGACGCUGAGGCUCGAAAGCUAGGGUAGCGAACGGGAUUAGAUACCCCGGUAGUCCUAGCCGUAAACGAUGGAUACUAGGUGUGGGAGGUAUCGACCCCUUCCGUGCCGGAGUUAACGCAAUAAGUAUCCCGCCUGGGGAGUACGGCCGCAAGGUUG